GCUGUUCCUUCCUCCCACCCCUCCCUUAUAUGUGCACACAUGCACAACAGAAAGAGCUAAACGAGGAUAAAGGUACUCCCCGGACAGAAUAGACCAUUCCUCUGCAGAAACAGGACUUCUGGCAGAUGUGAGUGGGACUAGAGUUUAAGUGAGUUGAAAAUAAAAGACUGAUAAUGAGAUUUUGUACUGGAUCGGCUGGCUUGUGCUGGCAGGCAGCAGGCACAGCCAGCCUGCUUACAACUCACCCGAGAUGAGCUACCCAAAAAUAGAAACUGAAGAACCACAGCACAUCAUCUAGCCUAGAGAGGUAAAAAAUGUUGAUUUGGAAAGACCACCAGUCACAAACAGAAUGACAGAACUGAGCUGCAGCCUUUCUCACAGUCACAUUAAAGCACUAAUAGUCCAGAAGGAUUGGAGUUUCUACUUCAGCACUCUCCAAAGCUGGCAUGAGAGCAGUAUGAGGAAGGAGGAGUAUGGCAUUCACCAGCUCUGGUCAGACUUAUGGUCCCUGUUUCUGCUGAACCUGAGUGCCUCAUCAUCCCACUGGGUCUAAAUCCCUGUUCAUAGGUCAGAGCUUGUGUCCAGGUACAGCGAAGGAGUUCUGGGAAGUCUGAGAAGCACUGACUGCUCCAUCUGGGAAGGAAGAACAGGUAUGACAGUGGAUUUAUACAGAACACAGCCAUGAUCUGCUUCUCCGUGGAUGUGAGAUUUGCUGCAACCUGAGCUCAAAAUAUCUCUGCUUGUACUGAUGAAGAGUUAAAUCUGAGACUAUCACACUGCUGCCUGCAAGGCACUUGCCUCUGCUCAAGUCAUCCAGACCCAAUGAACCAGCACAACAGCUUAUGCCAAAACAUCUGACUCAUAUCAGGAAACUAAAGCUUGGUCUGUUCUGGUCUUUUGAUACAGACUAAGUGUAACAUAGUUGGGUGCAAUCCUGAUUUUAAGGGUAGGCUUGACCACACAUUGCUAGGUGUAAGUGGAAAGUGCAGAUCUUGCUAGCUUCAAGAGGAAAAUGUAAACUUAAUUUAACCAGUUGAUAAAGAAUGAGUAUGCUUAGUAACAGCUGGACUGAUAAUGAACAUCUCAUCAGUAAGAGGUGCUCAUAUUUCAGCCUACUCACUAAUGCACAAGUGUUGGUGGUGCAUAUCAAGCAUCUUGGCUGCUAUAACACAGUUUAACUAAGGAUACAUUCACAGGGCUCAUCUUUUGCCUAUUCUGGACUACUGUCUUACCAGGUUUGGUAUUCUCCAGUUUGCAGCCACAUGUAUAUCAAUACUUGUGAAGUGGGAGGGCAAGGUUAGCUCUAAAUCAAACAUCUUUCCUCUGGAACAGACUGUUUGCCAGAGGCACUCAGCAUCAGUUACUCCAUUUUCCUGUUAGAAUAACAGCAUUGAUUUAUUAGAGAGGAUUUAAACUCAGAACAUGUCAGGAGUGUACGCCAGUUGAUGAAAAAAAAAUACAUCUGGCUCCCUGUUCUUUAUUAGAUGAUGUGCUUUUGUGAGAUUAGAGUCGUGUAUUUCCUGUUAAUCUUGGUGGUGUGUCUGUAGCUGAGUGGUUGCCUCUUUUCUAAUGCAUUUCCUAAAGGUUAAACUCAGUGCUGUCAAAUGCACAUCACGAUCCUCUGAGAUAAUACCAAAGGGAGAUCUGUUUUGCCUUCUACAGCCCUGCUCUGUCCAAAGACAAAGGAGGAGCAGGUUGUGCUCCUUCCUUAGCUUUGGUUGCACAGGUGUUCUGUCUUCUGCUUCCCAUCUGCAAGUGGGGAUUAGACAGGGGUUAGGGGAGAAAACGUAGGGAUAUGAGAUCAGGCAGUCAGACAGCAAACUAAAAUGAAAUUAUUGUUGCCCACCCAAUCAAAUUUUAUUCUUCUUCAUACUUCUUCUUUGGUUAGACAUAUUGCAAACAAUUUUUGUUCUUAAUUUCAACUGCAGCUUUAUUUUCUCCAAACCCUGCAUAAAAAUAUGACUAGUAAGAAACACACAACUUUUGUUCUUAACCUCAACUGCAGCUUUAUUUUCUCCAAACCCUGCAUAAAAAUAUGACUACUAAAAAACACACAAAUGUUGUUCUUAAUUUCAACUGCAACUUUCUUUUCUCCAAGCUCUGUAUAAAAAUAUGACUAUUAAGAAGUACAAAGAAUAUGCCUGGGUUUGGUUCAGUGCUGUCUGAUGGUGCUGGGGGGCUUAGUGAAGCAAAUCCAAACGACUAAAGAAGAUUAAAUAAGAUACCAGUAGCGGUGCUAAGAAUCAGGAGGUGGCAGCAAAACUCUGAAGAGACGUCUGGUUUCUGCAUGUCAGUAAUGGAAGUGUUUUAACUGCAAACAAAAAAAAAAUAAUAAAUCAUUAAUGUGUGAGAUUCCAGUGAGAAAAACAAGGGAUGGUCAGACACUGAUUAUCCAGUGGAGACCUGCAUGACAAACUACAGAAUUAUAUGGAUUGGAGAACUCCCACCAUUAAAAUCUGAAUAAUUAAUAUCAUUAACUUUCCGGAACAGAAAGAUUCCAAGUCAGAGAAGGAUCCACAGAACUUCUCAAGUUGGAUGGAACAGCAGUAAUGGAUGUGUUGCAAAGUUCAGCAAAUUGGACUGUAGCCUGAUAAUUGGGCAAGAUUUUAUACGUACAUCAGUAGCAGGAAAUUGGAGGAAAGCAUAAAAACUACAGAACAGCUCAUCUGCUACAGUUUGGAAGCAAGACCAUAAGGAAGACAUCCAGAAAAGAAUCUGAAGUAAACCAGAAUUUGAAAUUUCAGUCUAACAGGUUUCAUUUCAGGAAUACAUCAGCUGCUGAUGGAGCACAAAUGGAAGGAUCACAUCCUAAAUCCUUGAAGAUAUGGUGAAGAAGAAAGUGUUAAUGGUUUGCUGAUCUAAACCAAACCCAUUUGACAGUAUAGUGAAAUCAUGGGUGCCAAAAAAAGCCUCUUAAUUUAAAAUUGAAGAGGAAUAAGUCUCAGAGCAAGUUGCAUGAGGUUAGUUGCAUCAUACACUACACAACUGUAUAUGUCUAUUAAUGAAAGACUUGACACAAGAAAUAGGAGGAAACUGUAAGAAAUUGACAGUCUUCUGGAAGUGUUUAUGUAUCUCAAUGAACCUUUGUCACAAUUAAACACUCCACUCAGAAUGCUACUUGGAAGACAAUGCAGCAAAGUUUAAACACAGGAGAAAUACAGCUGUCCAAAACCAACCAUCUGAGGUCAGCCAAGCAGAGUCUUGUGUAGGCUAAGGUUCCACUUCUGCAAGUUGAUGGCCAGUGGGUUUUGUGGACACAGAACAGCACUGCUGUUGCAAACACCUCUGUAACACUAGUGUGUUCCUUCACUCGGGAAAGAAAUGGAAGAAUCCUUGGCAUAUUUUAUUGUAUGAAAAAUAAACUCAUUAAGAAUA